CGCACAUUGCGCCUUUUGGUAUUCCGAAAGGCAUGUCUGUUUGAGCGUCAGCAAAACCUCUCAGCAAUUUUUUUUUUACAAAAUCAAUUUGCUGGCCUUGAGUUUGGAGAAGUGGUCCCUAACCGGCCUGCUCCGGCUUUAAAUUUGCUGUACGACCGCGAGCCUUUUUCAGGUGCAGUUGAAUAGAGUGGUGUUUACUAUUAUUCUGUCAUACUCCCUGAAAUGUAAAUGCCCUGCGGCGUUAAACAAUCCGUUACUACCAGUAGUGACAGAAGUUUGACCUCAAAUCAGACAAGGAUACCCGCUGAACUUAA
rnacentral:misc_RNA from 1 species